AUCAUCCUCACAGCGUUUGAUCUGCAGACAAAAUGCCGUCCUGACUCUGGGAUCAGUUGUGAAACACCAAGGGGCCUCUGAGCCAUCAGGAUUCCGACAGUAAUUCUCCUGUAGCCCUCUGUAACAACAGUAAACUUUAACAGUCCUCCAGUCCUCAGGCAUGAAGAAUUGAACCUUUGUAGCAAGAACCUCUACAAUUUCUGUAGUCAAACCCAGGCUCUCCCUAUCACUGAGCACAUUUACAAGGAGGCUGCUACAAGAAAACAUCAUCCAUCAUGCUCUUUUCUUGUUACUCCUUGUAGGAGGCACAGAAGCUUUAGAACCCACACUGCGAGAUUCAGAAACAGUUAUUACCCUGCAACCAUCAAGCUCCUGAACCGGU